rnacentral:rRNA from 1 species
UACAGAGGUCUCAAGCGUUGUUCGGAUUCAUUGGGCGUAAAGGGUGCGUAGGUGGCGGGGUAAGUCAGGUGUGAAAUCUCGGGGCUCAACCCCGAAACUGCAUUUGAUACUGCCUUGCUCGAGUACUGGAGAGGAGAUUGGAAUUUACGGUGUAGCAGUGAAAUGCGUAGAUAUCUGAAGGAACAUCAGUGGCGAAAGCGACUUCCUGGACCAAUACUGACGCUCAUGUGCGAAAGCGUGGGGAGCAAACAGG